rnacentral:sRNA from 1 species
UAACUCCAUUACCACUUCCUCUUCUUGAC